GGGCAGGGACACUUGCUGCCAUGCUGGGCAGAUGCACAUCAUGCAGUCAUGGUGGCGGUGGCAGCGGCCAGUAAUUCACAACCCAGAUGCUAUGUGGAGGAGUCCUGCCCUCGGUUUCCUGUGAGUAGGAGCCACCUGUCUUGCUGCAGAAAUCCCAGCAUCUGAGCCCUUGGACAAAGCCCAUCAGAAAACCAUGGUGUUCCUGCUGAAUCACAAAGGCCAAUCAGUACUUGGAGACUCAACUAGGGAAAGAUGGCUGACUCCGAGACAACUACCUUGCGGAGUCCCUCCCCGCACCCCAUCUCUUUGGUUCUUGUUGCUAAUUCUUCAAUGAAGCUGGCAUUUUACUCUC